GACGAACGCUGGCGGCGUGCCUAACACAUGCAAGUCGAACGGAAAACAUAGCAAUAUGUUUUUAGUGGCGAACGGGUGAGUAACGCGUAGACAACCAACCUUUUUGUGGGGGACAACACUUCGAAAGGAGUGCUAAUACCGCAUACGCUCCAGAUGCCGCCUGGCAUUUGGAGGAAAGGAGCUGUAAGGCUUCGCAAAAAGACGGGUCUGCGUCUGAGUAGCUAGUUGGAGGGGUAACGGCCCACCAAGGCGACGAUCAGUAGCCGGUCUGAGAGGAUGGACGGCCACACUGGGACUGAGACACGGCCCAGACUCCUACGGGAGGCAGCAGUGGGGAAUCUUCCGCAAUGGACGAAAGUCUGACGGAGCGACGCCGCGUGAGUGAUGAAGGCCCUUGGGUCGUAAAGCUCUGUCAUCAGGGACGAACGGUCACGUCAGGAAAUGGGCGUGAAUUGACGGUACCUGAGAAGGAAGCCACGGCUAACUACGUGCCAGCAGCCGCCGUA
rnacentral:rRNA from 1 species